rnacentral:rRNA from 1 species
AGUGAACGCUGGCGGUGGGCCUAACACAUGCAAGUCGAACGGAAGCACAGUAAGAGCUUGCUCUUACGGGUGGCGAGUGGCGGACGGGUGAGGAAUACAUCGGAAUCUACUUUUUCGUGGGGGAUAACGGGGGGACACAGACGCUAAUACCGCAUAUGACCUACGGGUGAGAGCAGGGGAUAUUGGGACCUUGCGCGACUGUAUGAGACGAUGCCGCAUUAGCUAGUUGGCAGGGUAACGGCCCACCAAGGCGACGAUCCGUAGCCGAUCUGAGAGGAUGACCGGCCACACUGGAACUGAGACACGGUCCAGACUCCUACGGGAGGCAGCAGUAGGGAAUCUUCCGCACUGGGCGAAAGCCUGACGGAGCAACGCCGCGUGAGUGAUGAAGGUCUUCGGAUCGUAAAACUCUGUUAUUAGGGAAGAACAAAUGUGUAAGUAACUAUGCACGUCUUGACGGUACCUAAUCAGAAAGCCACGGCUAACUACGUG